AUGGACGGCAAGACGCCUCAUCUGCUGCCUCUGAGUCUGAGCGAGGCCAAAAAGAAGAUCCGGGAUGACGUCCCACUGGUCUGCGGAUGGGCGCUCCUCAACGCCUUCGCCACGGUCUGCGGCGUAGCAAGCGGCUACAUAGCCGAGUACAUCCAUGUCUCGUGCAGCCAGUCCUCCUUCAUUCUGCCCUGCAUCGAGCUGACAGACGCGGAGGCCGCGAGGGUAAUCGCCCUCUGCAUCGGGAUGAUGUGCUGCGCCCCAACCCUGGCAGCCGCGGCGGCGCUGGCGCUGCUGCUCCCAUGCCGCCGUCGCCGGGCCCGCCGUGCCCUCGCCUACCUCGCCCUUGCGGUCACCGUCCUCUUCCAUUGCAUGUACGCCAGCGCCGUCUGGAUCUUCCUCGCCGCCGACCCAGGAUACAUCUUCGGCAGGAUCUACUUCACCGCGGGCUUCUGCUUCAUCGUGGUGGGCGACCUCCUCAGCUUCCGGGCCCUCCUGGGAGGUGAUGGGUGGGGCAUGAAGUACGUAACCUAUUUCUUCUGA
rnacentral:rRNA from 1 species